rnacentral:misc_RNA from 1 species
CCGGACGACCGGCGACGGCCUCUGGCCUGUAUGGGAGAGCCUUCAUAGGCUUGAAGUUCGGCGAGAUGGGCCCGUAGCUCAGUUGGUUAGAGCACACGCUUGAUAAGCGUGGGGUCGGAAGUUCAAGUCUUCCCGGGCCCACCAUUUGCAUUUGUGAAUGGCGGUUAGUUUGGGUUUACCUGAUCCUGACGGUUUGCUGUCAGGUGUUUGCGAUGGUUGGGGCUGUAGCUCAGCUGGGAGAGCACCUGCUUUGCAAGCAGGGGGUCAGCGGUUCGAUCCCGCUCAGCUCCACCAAUUCGCUUGGUGUCGAGACUGAGAGAUAUCCUUUGAAGAAAUAAAAAAGUUUGCAUCGGCUUAUGGCCUGAUGCCUGUUCUGCAUACAUUGUGAAGAGAAGAUUGAUCUGGAGGCUUCCAGGUGUUUUGGGUUCUGCCCAAAAUGUCCGAGCCCAGUUCUGCUGAUCCUAUGGAUGGCCUAGCCGGCCGGAGAUAGGGGAAGGACUGGGGGUAGGUAGGAAGCUUGUCGCUCUGGGUCGUUGUUGUUCGUUGCCUUCGGGCAUCGUCUGACGGACGACUUGAUUACCGUUGCCUGACCGCGCGGUAUCGGAUCCAAUCUCGAGAAGCUGGUCUUAAGACAGGCUGCAAGUGGGCUGCUCGGCGUAGCUCCAAUAAAGCAGACCUGUCGAACACGUCGAUGGCAUUGUUGGAUUGACUGGGUUGUAAAAGGUAACCCGGUCUGUUGCUGUUUCCUUUGGGGACGGUAGCGAGAUGAUGAGCAUGGCAAUGCGCUAACCGCAAGGAGGCAGCUAACCACGGUAGGGUCAGCGACUGGGGUGAAGUCGUAACAAGGUAGCCGUAGGGGAACCUGCGGCUGGAUCACCUCCUUUCUAAGGAAGCUGUGGAAUUGGUAAGACGAUCUUCCGACAAGUCUUCGACUUGUCUCGAGAUAUGAACCUUCCCGUGCUUUUUAGAACAUAGAUGGCACCAGUCAGGUGACCAUCGAAACGCAAUACGCCGCGUAGACUUCGGUCACGACGGUAUGGCGAGCUUUCGCCGUCCACGUUUCUCUUUCUUCAAAAGGAUAUCGAACCAUUGGUUUGCGCUCACGCACGUACCGCCCUUCGGGCUGUGCUCCGCGGGGGCG